UACGAAGGGGGCUAGCGUUGUUCGGAAUUACUGGCGUAAAGCGCGUGUAGGCGGGUCUUUAAGUCAGGGGUGAAAUGCCAAGGCUCAACCUUGGAACUGCCUUUGAUACUGGAGACCUUGAGUCCGGGAGAGGUGAGUGGAAUUGCGAGUGUAGAGGUGAAAUUCGUAGAUAUUCGCAAGAACACCAGUGGCGAAGGCGGCUCACUGGCCCGGAACUGACGCUGAGAUGCGAAAGCGUGGGGAGCAAACAGG
rnacentral:rRNA from 1 species